CUACGGGUGGCUCCAGUGGGGAAUUUUGCGCAAUGGGCGAAAGCCUGACGCAGCAACGCCGCGUGGAGGAUGAAGGUUUUCGGAUCGUAAACUCCUGUCAAGUGGGAAGAAAAUUUGACGGUACCGCUAGAGGAAGCCCCGGCUAACUCCGUGCCAGCAGCCGCGGUAAUACGGAGGGGGCAAGCGUUGUUCGGAAUUAUUGGGCGUAAAGCGUAUGUAGGCGGUCGAACAAGUCAGGCGUGCAAUCCCUCGGCUCAACCGAGGAUUUGCGCUUGAAACUGUUUGACUUGAGUGCAGGAGAGGAAAGUGGAAUUCCCAGUGUAGCGGUGAAAUGCAUUGAUAUUGGGAAGAACACCGGUGGCGAAGGCGGCUUUCUGGCCUGCUACUGACGCUGAGAUACGAAAGCCAGGGGAGCGAACGGGAUUAGAUACCCUAGUAGUC
rnacentral:rRNA from 1 species